rnacentral:lncRNA from 1 species
GAACAUUUUGUAGAAAACAAAAUAUUAAGUCCAAAGCAGACAAGGCUAACUGCGGUGAAAUAUUCGUCAUUUAUAUUUUGGGACGGAACCGUAAAAAUGGGGGACGAAGCAACGUAAACAAUGAUUUUUUCAUACCAUCAUAUACAUAUGUUAUCGACUUUUCUAUCCGCUUUCUAAUUCAAAAAACCCAUUUCUUUCUUUUAUGAUAGCCGCA